UCCACGCAGUAAACGGUGAUCACUAGGUGUUGGGGGUAUUGAUACCUUCAGUGCCGCAGCUAACGCAUUAAGUGAUCCGCCUGGGGAGUACGGUCGCAAGAUUAAAACUCAAAGGAAUAGACGGGGACCCGCACAAGUGGUGGAGCAUGUGGUUUAAUUCGAAAAUACGCGAAGAACCUUACCUAGCCUUGACAUUGAAGAAACACACUAGAGAUAGAGUGGUGCCCUUCGGGGAAUCUGAAAACAGGUGCUGCACGGCUGUCGUCAGCUCGUGUCGUGAGAUGUUGGGUUAAGUCCCGCAACGAGCGCAACCC
rnacentral:rRNA from 1 species